ACUGUGAAGUCACAAGAGGCCCUGAGCUCUGUGGGCCCCAGGUGCCCCGGGAAAACUUGGGGGAGAAUGGGCAUCCCACCCCAGCACUUUCUAGGAAGAAGGGCAGCAUUUUGAAGGGCUGGAAGUAGAGGAAGGAGGUUGCGGGUAGAAGACUCCAUACUUUCUGUGACGCCUAUUCCUUAGCUUGUGAUGAAUGUUUUCUCAGUAUCCUAUGCUGAAAACAGGUAGAUACUAAUAUCGAUCUUCAAGGGAGGGCUGUUGAGUAUUGAAUAAGACAAAAACAUGGAAGCAAUCAGCACCAUGCUGGAAUCAAGGCUAUCUGUAAUCACAGGGCUAUUUGAAAAAGAGAAGAAAAGGUGUCUUGAAAUUCAACCAACAUGUUUCAAUUAUUUGCUCCUAAGAACAACAGAAGUUUCAACAUUCUGCCAACAGAGUAACUCCUGGAAGAUUGGCACAGAAGAAGGCACAAGGAAGUCAGUGAUAAAAAUAUUUAAGCAGCUUUGUCUGCCUUAGACCUUCCAACUAAAAGUACAGCAAGUGGAAUGGAAUGCUAAUAUGAGGAUCCAAAUUUUCAGGGAAGGAGGAGAGCCUUUAUAUAACCAAAGAUAUUUUUGGACCAUGAAUUCAGAAAUUCUCGGAGCCACCCAUCAGUGCCUGAGCUUCAGUGAGUCCAUAUCCCAUGUCACCCACGGCAAAGGAGACUCUAAGACUUCUGAAGAGUUUCUUGCUUCUUUCCUGUGGGGCAGUGACUCCACUUCCCAGCAGUAAUGGAAUAUCCUGAAUUAGCUACAUUAAUGUUAGAACCAUUUGGACCUCACCCAGGACUUCAACUACAUUAUGGAUGUUAUAAGAAAUGAGACUCACUACUGAAUUCACAGCAGGCAUGGUUGAAGGCACCAUUCACUAUAGCUUGCAGUGUUCCCUUUAUGAGAUUUGUAUGAGAAAUUCCUCUCAUAGGUCAAGUUCUUGGGAGAAAAUUCUCCCAAAGAGCAAGUCCCAGGAAAAUCUUGGCUGAGUAACUCCUGGACGAUUGGCACAGAAGAAGGCACAAGGCAAAUACCCAUCUCUGUACACCCUGUGCUACUGUGUCAUGUGCUGCUCCAGGCAACUCCAAUGGAUUGGCCACCCUGGCCAAUGUGCCCUCCAAACACCAGCACUGAGUAGAAAGAGGCUCUGAUUCAUGAAAUGUGAAUUUAUGACAGUUGCCACUCUUAAAAAAAAAAACAAACAGACAGAACUUGAGCAAUACAUGACUGAUGCAUUCUCAGCCUGCUUCCUGUGUUCCAUCUGUCUUUCUGCCAGUGCAUUCACCCUCCAGGUUCUAGUAUGUUACGUUUAUGUUCCCCUGCUUUCUACAAUCCUGUUCAAAGAGUUGCUGACUUAACCACAGAGAGGAUUCCAGAACCUGAGACACAGAAUAAACUUGAGCAAUCAUAGUCCAUCCACUUCAUUGUCUCAUCAAAAACCAAAGGUCCAGUGAAGCUCUGGAACUCAACGCUGUAAAGGAGCGAAGGAGCUUCUAUACAGAGCCUGGAUGCCUGUCUCCUUAUCCUACUUCAGUGGACUUGACUGCAAUCCGGAUUAUGCUGUUUUCUAAGCAUUUAAAAUAAAAUAAAAAGUAUAAUAGUGUGAUAAGUUCUUUCACAAAGCAAGCAAUCACAUUUAUGUUUCUACUUACAUUUGGGUUUUCCAAAUAUGUGUGUGUGUGUGUGUGUGUGUGUGUGUGUGUGUAUGUAGACUUUAAACAUGGUGCAUCCAUCAUGUUGCACUAAAUCAAAACCACCAAAUAAUGAUGUAGAACUAAUAAAUCAAAACCAUCAAAUAAUGACAUAGAAAUCCAAUUCUCCCACCUUACACCCAUUAAGAUGGCUACU
rnacentral:lncRNA from 1 species